rnacentral:rRNA from 1 species
GAUCUCGUACGUGACCUGCGGAGGGUCAUUACACAAAUAUGAAGGCGGGCUGGAACCUCUCGGGGUUACAGCCUUGCUGAAUUAUUCACCCUUGUCUUUUGCGUACUUCUUGUUUCCUUGGUGGGUUCGCCCACCACUAGGACAAACAUAAACCUUUUGUAAUUGCAAUCAGCGUCAGUAACAAAUUAAUAAUUACAACUUUCAACAACGGAUCUCUUGGUUCUGGCAUCGAUGAAGAACGCAGCGAAAUGCGAUAAGUAGUGUGAAUUGCAGAAUUCAGUGAAUCAUCGAAUCUUUGAACGCACAUUGCGCCCUUUGGUAUUCCAAAGGGCAUGCCUGUUCGAGCGUCAUUUGUACCCUCAAGCUUUGCUUGGUGUUGGGCGUCUUGUCUCUAGCUUUGCUGGAGACUCGCCUUAAAGUAAUUGGCAGCCGGCCUACUGGUUUCGGAGCGCAGCACAAGUCGCACUCUCUAUCAGCAAAGGUCUAGCAUCCAUUAAGCCUUUUUUUCAACUUUUGACCUCGGAUCAGGUAGGGAUACCCGCUGAACUUAA